GCGAGAAGGCGUGCGGCAUUCUGGGAAAAGUUAAGAAGGCGGGAGUGGGGUUGUGGGUGUUACCAGGGCAACCGGAGGCAACUGACAGUUGUCUGCGGUUUGGAGCGUUUGGCAGAAAAGGUUGGGAUGCUCAGAGGUCUUUAGGGAUGAGCAAAAGGGCCAAGAGAGCCCUCCUCAAAGAAGAUCAUCCAAUCGGGAGGUUACCGGGUCGCGUUUCACCGCGGGAGUGCUGGACGUGGGAAUCUGGGUCGCGCCCUCUUUUGAGUAUUGAGGCGAAAUGAAGUGCAGUCCAGUGGCUUCUCCCUGUCCUUUCUCUAGUUUUCCGCUUCCUUUUAGAAAUGAGUUUGGAUGCAGAAUGUGAAGACAAUUCUUUCAAGAAGUUUGGCUGUAAAGGAAAAGAGAGAAGAACUCUGUGGGAUUUAUCUGGAGAACGGAUACAAGAAUGUAAAACAGAAGUCUGGAAAGAAAAGAUGAAAGAAAAUUCAAAGAUGUAAGACUCACUCUUUCAAUAAAGUUUUAUUAGACAUAUAUCA